rnacentral:rRNA from 1 species
AGAGUUUGAUCCUGGCUCAGAUUGAACGCUGGCGGCGUGCCUAACACAUGCAAGUCGAGCGGUAACAGGUGUAGCAAUACAUGCUGACGAGCGGCGGACGGGUGAGUAACGCUUGGGAAUCUGCCUGAUAGUGGGGGACAACCCGGGGAAACUCGGGCUAAUACCGCAUACGCACUACGGUGGAAAGCCGGGGACCGCAAGGCCUGGCGCUAACAGAUGAGCCCAAGUCGGAUUAGCUAGUUGGUAGGGUAACGGCCUACCAAGGCGACGAUCCGUAACUGGUCUGAGAGGACGACCAGUCACACCGGAACUGAGACACGGUCCGGACUCCUACGGGAGGCAGCAGUGGGGAAUAUUGGACAAUGGGCGAAAGCCUGAUCCAGCGACGCCGUGUGGGUGAAGAAGGCCUGCGGGUUGUAAAGCCCUUUCGGUGGGGAAGAAAAGCCUCGAGUUAACACCUCGGGGUCUUGACGUAACCCAUAGAAGAAGCACCGGCUAACUCUGUGCCAGCAGCCGCGGUAAUAC